AAGGAUAUAUUUACUAGCUCAUUUCUCCAUAUUACCAGGUACAUAACAUGCAAUAUAUCAACCUUGCAAUCCAUGCUUUAACCCAUGCAGUUGCCCCCUCUCCUGCAGCAUGUUUGGGAAGGGAGAGGAAGGAAUGGAGGUACUGUAAUUUCUAUAUUUAGCUCCCUUCUCUUCAAGCUCCCUUCAAGCUCCCUUCUCUUCAAAAAUAAAUAAGCCCCCUCGGCCAGCCCCUCCUCUUUUAACCAUGCAGCCCUCAAUUAAUUCUUAAAAUCAUGAUAUAUAUUGCAUUUCGGCAGUAUUUUAAUAAAAUAUAGUACAAUGGUAACUCUGAAUAUGGACAUUUUUUAAUGGUAACCAGACUUAUUGCAUAUAUUAAGAACAAGUGCCCCCUCAAUGAUGCUUAGGAAACAAUAAUACCCAGGAGGCUUGAUACAGAAAUUAAAGUAGUUAUUUG